rnacentral:rRNA from 1 species
UACGUAGGGUGCGAGCGUUAAUCGGAAUUACUGGGCGUAAAGCGUGCGUAGACGGUUAUUUAUGUCGGGUGUGAAAGCCCCGGGCUCAACCUGGGAAUUGCAUUCGAGACUGAAUAGCUAGGGUACGGUAGAGGGAAGUGGAAUUUCCGGUGUAGCGGUGAAAUGCGUAGAUAUCGGAAGGAACAUCAGUGGCGAAAGCGACUUCCUGGACCAGUACCGACGUUCAGGCACGAAAGCGUGGGGAGCAAACAGG